rnacentral:siRNA from 1 species
AGUAGAACUAUAGAGAUUGAUUUC